rnacentral:rRNA from 1 species
GGGGGAUAUUGCACAAUGGAGGAAACUCUGAUGCAGCAACGCCGCGUGAGGGAAGAAGGUUUUCGGAUUGUAAACCUCUGUCCCUGGGGACGAUAAUGACGGUACCCGGGGAGGAAGCUCCGGCUAACUACGUGCCAGCAGCCGCGGUAAUACGUAGGGAGCAAGCGUUGUCCGGAUUUACUGGGUGUAAAGGGUGCGUAGGCGGCAAAGCAAGUCAGGUGUGAAAUGUAUGGGCUUAACCCAUGAACUGCACUUGAAACUGUUUAGCUUGAGUGAAGUAGAGGCAGGCGGAAUUCCCGGUGUAGCGGUGAAAUGCGUAGAGAUCGGGAGGAACACCAGUGGCGAAGGCGGCCUGCUGGGCUUUAACUGACGCUGAGGCACGAAAGCAUGGGUAGCAAACA